GAAAAUGUGUGCGAACUUUAUCCUCAAAUAUCUGCUGAUCAAACAACAACAAAAGCACCAAUCACAGAGGCGACAACAGCGACAUCACCAACUACAGUAUUGUCACCUACCACAACACCGGCACCACCACCAACACCACCACUAACACCAGCACCGCCACCAACACCAGGAACAACCACAGUCAAACAUGAUGGAGGAAACGCUAACAGCAGUACAGGCACAAGGGAUGCCUCAAACGUGCUGUACAUCAUGCUAUUCAUGUUAAUCAUUUCCGGAACCCUGAACCUCGUGCAGGCUGUUUUAUUCUGCAAGCGCUGGAGGACACAGCACAGAACACAGAACCCAACUCAUCAGCGUCUAAGCCUCUGGUCUCUCCAGGAUGAAUCCUCCGUGUUGAAUGAAACCUGCGAUGAUCCAGAUCCCCUUCCACUGAUGCCGAUAAUAACCAAGCCAGACUGUCCCCACGUCGACUCCCCCUCAGCUGAUACAACCAGGAACAGAUGCACUGCUGGAAACGGAUUAGAGUCACAUUAAGCACCAUACUCACAACUUUGUAUAUUGUCAUUAUAAAAGAGCAGCGGGAGGUAACACAGGACAGAUCAGCUCCACGCAGGACUGAGUGACUGUGGUAUGCAACUGCCUUUCAUGGAGUAGAAACUCUGACUGGAGCCCUUGCCCCCGGACAUGAGGGGGAGUGAGCGGGCCGCGGCAUGUCGCUUCUCAGCCGCUCAGCAAGUCGAGCUCCUGCAGUCACAGCCAAACGAGGGGACGAGAGGAUUGCUUCAGACCAGAACAGGUUUUGACUGUGAGCUGUGGUUUGUGAGAAGCACAAAAGACGACUCUAACCUGUAUUAUAAUUACCCUCAAAACAUUUCAGACGACUAAAGUCUCACCGGAUAGUUUGUCGUUUGGUCGAGCUUCAUUGGAAUCAGAGCUGCAGUCACACUGGCAACGUUUAAGAUGAAUUAAAAAUAAUAUGAUGUGAUAUCAAGGCAACUACAGCUGGCCCUGCUUACCACUGUGAGGUGGGAAAUAACCUGAUAUUAAUCUGUAAAUCACAGUGUUAUGAUUAUAAAUGUGCACCGUCCGUCAGCACUGGACUCAGCGUUCUCACUUUCAGGACGGUUGUUCAUUAGCUUCUAUCCUGCACCGUCCAGAUUUAUAAUAAAACAUUUGCAGGUGGAGUGAACUGCACCGCUGGUUGCAGGUUUUUCCACUGCAUGCACUGGUUUUUAACAAGCUAUGCUAAGCUAGGUCUAGUGUUAAAUGUAGGCAACCACUUCCGCAGUAUUGUACUUUCAGAGUUGUGGCUGGUCCUCACCUUUUGACCCACUUUGGAUGUUUGAGUUAGACUUGCUUUUAGGGUUUGGAUGGAUGGAUUGAUCCAGAGGUCAGUUCAAGGCGGCACCUGGGCCACAUCCCAUGAGUGGUGCCAUGCUUUUCAGAGCAGGUGUCAGGGUCUUAUCUUUACAUGGUCUUCAGCAAAACAGACAGUUAAAAGGAUCAUUCAUCACAGUUUCAAUGUUUGUCGAAUAUGUCACAGAUAUAAAUAUUUACCUGACUUACUCUGCCAGUAUUCUGUCAACUGAAUCUAUUCAUUUGUUUUAAAGCGGUCCGUGUGGCCAGGCAUUUGGGGAAAGUAGGGAAUGCUUUGUGCCACUGAGUGUCCUUGAUGUGUUGUGUGUGUCCAAGUAUGACAUUAUGUGGACUUGUCUUUGUGGUGUAUUUUAGCUGAUAACUCUUUUGAACAUGGUCAUAAACCACGAUGACAUGUUACCAUCUUCAGUGUUGAUUCUUAAACUCUUACACUCGUUAAACACUAUCCCAGAUGGUAUGGAAUGUAUGCGUUAACUCUCUCCCCCAGAGAAUACUUUUGACCUGUACAAUGAAGACGCCUUACACUACAAGAUACUAAACAUGCCCUUAUUUAGGCUGAAGACCCUGUUGUGUGAUGUAAUGUUAUCUCUAGGUUUGGGGUCCCACCUCCAACCUAUAAAACUUCUUGCCCUGCAGGGAGACUUCACACUUUCACCAUUUGGCUGUGUGAUUUCUCCGAGUAUCUAGAGCUCGUCCUGACCUGUACUACUUUGUUUAAUAAACAUAAUUUUACUUGUAAGUACUGGGUCCGCGGUCCUUCCCUUCAUCAUCAACUUCUACAACAACACGGUGACCUCUCGGCCGACCAGAAUAUACGUCAUCUUCCUAAUGAGGACCAAAUAAUGACAGUUUAAGUUUUAGUCUCCAGGAACAAAUGUAUGUCACUGUAAAGCCACUGAAGUGAUGGAGACAUACAUCGUACUUAUCUGUGUUUUCUGCCUUCAAGCUGCAGCAAUGAUCUCACAUAUGAAUCUCAAUCAAGUGUUUCCCGCACUCCUCAGAUUGCAGCAGGUUAAUCUGCUGGGAUCAGAGAGAGUUGAUGGUUCCGCAGCAAGUCUCUGAAUGUGUCUCGGCAUGUUGUGUAUUGUAACCAGGACACUGAAGCUAUUCCUGGUCUGUUUGAAUAAUUUAACUGAACUGUGAUGUUUGUCUGUUUUGUAAAACUGUGAAGAAAUGCAUGUAUUGUAUACGUGUGUGUGUUUGUAGAUGUAUUUUUUUUAGGAAAGUCAGACUUCGCAGGUGAAAAAGUCGAUGCAGCUUAAUGUUCCAGUUCCGUUUCACGACCUAACCUUACACAUGGUAGCUUUCAAAUGUGCUUAUAUGAUAUGACUUAACAAAUAAAUGUUCCCUUCUUUGACAUUAAAACUACCUACAGGGC